AUUCGAAACUUUUUGUCAUCCCACGCUACUUCCUCCACUUUACUCUUAUCUUGUGAAGACAGGAGAAGAGAGGCGAAGACAGGAGAGGCGAGAAAGAGGAAUGGAGGGACUGAGAAAUGUCUUAUUUGAGAAGAUGAAGGAAGCCGAGGGAGCGCUGAAGGGCAUCAAGGAUGCAAAACUGGCCUCUAGUUUACGGGACAAGUUGGAGCAAACAAAAGGCGUGACGGAGAGCAUGCAGGGGACCUUGUCGGAGAAGCUACCUCAGCUGCUCCAAUUUUCAUCGAGGAAGGUAAAGGAAGCAGAGGGAGCAGUGAAGUCCUACGGGGAGUUGAUAUCGGAGCCCCUAAAGGAGAAGCUACCCCUUCUUUCCCAGCUAUGGGGCGAUGUUGUAGGGUUCCUCGUUGGGAAGUUGGACGGGGUUCUGCCGGCUGCGGCCAGCCCCGAGGCGUUGCGCAUCCUGGUUCAACUGGUCCUGGCAACAAUCCUGCUGCAUCUGACUCUCGUCUUCCUCGGCUACUGCCUCAAUGGAGCUUUCAACACAAUCGGCUUUGUAGCCUCCAUCGUGAUAAAGGAUUUCACCUACUGCCUCAAAGGAGCUUUCAAGAUGGUUACGUACCCCGCCUCCCUCUUCCGCCGCUGCUGCUGCUUCUUCUUUCGAGAAGCCGGCAAGACAAUGAAGGCUCCCGGGAGGAAGGGCCUGCGCAUUCCUCGGGCCACCUUCGAG
rnacentral:lncRNA from 1 species